ensembl:lncRNA
GAAUCACAUGCCCGCGUUUUGGAUCCGAGACAGACGGUUGCGAUUGCCACACGUGCGAUUGGGAUUGUCACAAGUGGAUGCAAAGUUAAUGUGUACGGUAAGUUAUUGCCUUUUUGUAGUAAUUUAUGACAAUGUAUAGGUGCAUGAGAAUUUUAAAAGUCCGAUUGACUUUGUUGUGUAACUCUGGUAACGUUAACUCGAGGUUACAUUAACCUAGGCCUGCAUUUUCCACUGCAGUCCGUGAAGCAGUAGUCUCAUACAGAAGUCAGUUUAAAACCAGAGAAAUUUGUGUUAGUCAGUGAAUUUAUGUUAAAACACGCCGAUUCAAAUUUUGCAUUAGGAAAAGUUCAGACCUAAUUUGCCACCCUCCUCAUUUAACUGCGAUCAGGUUACAUUUAACCACAACUUUCAAAACAUUACAUGAAAUAAAUCGUGCUGAGUGACAUGAAAAAAAAAAUGUAUGAAAACGAAUCAAUAAACUAUAAAUUUCGUGACUACAGCACGAUUUGCCUUGAGAUUAUUGGACCAACCAAAAUUGCCCUGAAGGCAUAAUUUUACAAGGAGCUGCGUUUUAUUUCUGGAUGAAAAGCACAAUAACGUUCAUACCUUCUACGGUUUACAUUAAUCUUUGUGGAUUACACAAGCGUUUCUUCUCAGAUACAUUACAAAACUGAGAAUAAAAAAGACAAAAGAUUUGGUUAAACAAUGUUAAAAAAUAUUGGUUAUAUCAUUACAAAUACUAAUAGUGUAGAACAAAUAUUUCGAAAUUUAGCAGCAUCAUUUUACCCAUAAUGAGCCAUCUAAGAUUUAGAAACUAUAUAACUGGAGAUUAAACUUUUUUUGUACUCUAUCAUGAACUAUUGCAAUAGGUUGAUAAUUUUUUUCAGUCCAGAAAGUGUCUGAAAAAGCUCUGACAUUGACUUAUGUGUUUAAAUGAACUUAUUUAAUUGUUACCUAGACAUUAUGAUUAUUAACCAGCAUCACGUCAGAAUACAACUCCUGCUUGUAUUUCAGCUUCUGUUUAUUGAUUAGUUCUCAUGUAAUUUUCUACCUUAAAUAUAAUGUAUUUUCAUUAAUUCUGUUGUUUUAAUAUAAUUGUGUUUGUUCAUUUACAGCUUGACUGCAUUUAGGAAAUCUCUCAGACGCAUGGUUUUCAACCCUGGUGUGUCAUCAAGGAUAAACAAACCAAAACAUUGAGAUGAGGCGUGAAGCUGUUAUCCGGAGCCUCAUACUGUACCUUGGCGAGAAAGAAGAGGAACUGUUUGAAGAUUGCCAGGAGGACAACCACAGUGACACAGCGCAACACACCCUCAAGAUUCUGGUUGUACAUGGAGCUGAUGGAAAGGAUCCAGUGGAUGUAUCCAUUAUUCUUGAAGGCAAGGAGAUAUUGCCGGGAUGCCAAAAUACUGCUAAAGCUUGUGCCCUGCUUAUGGGACUCAUUUAUGCCCUCAACCUUGCAUACCCCAGAGCACUGCGUUACACUUUCGAGGUGUUUCAGAAACUUUUUCUAGAAUUAGAUGUUAUUAAGCUCUCUACAAAAGUACAAGCUUUUAAGUCGAAGUUGUUUUAUUAAAUGCUAUUGCCAUUGCAAGUACUGCACAUUUUUGGUUACCAGUACUCCCCAACUAAGUUUGAAAUCUUCCAGGUUCUAUUGGACUAUUUG